rnacentral:lncRNA from 1 species
AUUUUCUGAUUUCAGUUUAGUUUUCCUUAGUUUGUAAAGAUAUUUAGGUGUUUCUCAGGAUUCCCCUCACUUUUGAAACUAGUAGAUUUCUGUUGGUGUAGUUGUUGCUCUCAGCCACCAGCUAACAUUAGUAGUUGGUCAGUAUCGUAGCUGCUGAACUAAAUUUUUAUUCAUCACGUCACCUUGUAGUUUAAAUAUAAACUGAGCCGCAUGUCUGUGUUGAGAUGUAACAGUUAUAUUUUUUAUCUGCAGCCUGAAUGUGAAGACGAGGAAGAAGAUCUGGAUCCCCACAGACUGUUAACAAAAUGACAUCAUGGGUUUCAUGCCUUUCUUCAUGGUCCCACUGUGGACUUUAAUGCUCCGCUUGGGUUCAGUUAAAGGAUCAUUUGUAGUGGAUGUGACACAGAGCUCCUAUCAGGCAGAGGAGAACCACAACAUCACACUGGAGUGGACGUUCACCACCAAACCAGACACAUCCAUCUCAGCACUGAGGAUCCUCUGUAGCCUGAAUAAUGGCCAUAAACACUUAACUCUGUAUUAUCUUCAUGAUGGUGUCGAGUUCUCAGAGGAUCAGGAUGAAAAGUUUUCUGGACGAGUCCAGAGUGACAAAGACGCCCUCAGAGAAGGACGAAUCAGACUCCAGCUGUCCAGACUCAGGACUGAGGACUCGGGUCUGUACCUGUGUGAGGUGGACACAGGUUAUGGCCGCGGCUACAACAGCUGCAGAGUCACCGUCUCUGAUACAGAUUUUGCUAUAAUCUUGACAACAGACAUUUUGCUGCAAACUAAACUUCCUCAGGAAAAGACUCCAACAAACGGUGAGAAAGUGCUCCAACUUUUCUAUUUGGGUGUUUUUUGUGUAUUUGUGGUGACCUUGUUUUUUUUCCUUUUUUUUUCUACAUCAGCAGGUCGAUCGAGGGUCGUUGUCGUCGUUGUCGUCACCUUAUUAUUAGUUCUGACUCUCGUUGGUUUUGCUGCGUAUUUCUCUCACUGCAUUUUUCAGAAACUAAAAGUAAGAAACAAAUAAACAAACACAAACAUGUUGUUGCUUCUUGUUUCGUCAGACUGACUCAUUAUUCUCCUUCUUUCAGCAGAAGCAUCCAGAUGAUGAUGAUGAGACACAAAAACAACCACUAGCAGUCUAGCUCGGUCAAGUUAUAUUCAAACCAGCAUCCACAGGGUGACCCUCGGACCCAGCACCACUGAGAUCAUCAUAAGGUCACUCCUAUAAAAGGAUGUGAGCCUGAUUUGAACUUUGACCCCAGCUGAAGACUCGAGCCUCGUCCAGUUUAUUUAUCGAGCUCAUUUUCACACAAAGAAAGUGUCAAAAAAGAAAACCCAGAGUGGAAGAUCAGAGGAUGUAAACAGGAAAUAUUUCUUACAGAAGUCUUCAGUCAAAGUGGCUGCUGUCAGACUCUGGAGGAUCUGCUUGGAAACAUCAAGCAGUGAAACUGAUGGAUUUCCUCCUUCAAUACAAAACUGUGAAGUUCAGCCUGGAGAAGAAACACUCCUCUCCCUCACUGUCAGCAUGUUUAAUGAAUAUUUAUUUAAUCUUUACCUUACUGGGUUAAAAUCCCCCCAGAUCAUUACUGUGCUGGACUGACAUGAAUCAUUCCCAAACACGGAGUCUUUUCCAUUCAUUUUGCAGUCACUACCGAUGAAAGUGGAUAUUUUCAACACAGUUCAUGUGGAAAGAUCAAAAAAAUAAUUCACCUGAAAAUGUUGGUGACACAGGAGACUGGAAAAGCACCAACAAGUUUUAAAGUAACACAAACAGGAUUUAUGGAGCUCAUAAGGAGAACUCCUUUGUUUUACUGACCUCACUGUAUGAAAACAGACUUUGUUACCACAGCUGAUGAGCUCUGAUUGUUUUUGUUUUCUUUCUAACAUCUUUGAAUGUCUCAGAGGAGCUGAGCUAUAAGCUGAUUACUUUCAACACCUUUCGUUAAUAAUCUGCUGCACUUUAUAAACAUCCCAAAGGAGGCGACUUAUUCUUUAGAUUUGGGGAUUUUCAAAGCUACAAAUAAUUGAGUUUAAUGU